rnacentral:tRNA from 1 species
GCCGGGGUGGUGGAAUGGUAGACACCGGGGACUUAAAAUCCCCUGGCUGCAAGGCCGUGUGAGUUCAAAUCUCAUCCCCGGCA